rnacentral:rRNA from 1 species
GCUACAGGCUUAACACAUGCAAGUCGAGGGGCAGCAUUUCAGUUUGCUUGCAAACUGGAGAUGGCGACCGGCGCACGGGUGAGUAACACGUAUCCAACCUGCCGAUAACUCGGGGAUAGCCUUUCGAAAGAAAGAUUAAUACCCGAUGGUAUAAUCAGACCGCAUGGUCUUGUUAUUAAAGAAUUUCGGUUAUCGAUGGGGAUGCGUUCCAUUAGGCAGUUGGUGAGGUAACGGCUCACCAAACCUUCGAUGGAUAGGGGUUCUGAGAGGAAGGUCCCCCACAUUGGAACUGAGACACGGUCCAAACUCCUACGGGAGGCAGCAGUGAGGAAUAUUGGUCAAUGGGCGCAGGCCUGAACCAGCCAAGUAGCGUGAAGGAUGACUGCCCUAUGGGUUGUAAACUUCUUUUAUAUGGGAAUAAAGUUUUCCACGUGUGGAAUUUUGUAUGUACCAUAUGAAUAAGGAUCGGCUAACUCCGUGCCAGCAGCCGCGGUAAUACGGAGGAUCCGAGCGUUAUCCGGAUUUAUUGGGUUUAAAGGGAGCGUAGGUGGACAGUUAAGUCAGUUGUGAAAGUUUGCGGCUCAACCGUAAAAUUGCAGUUGAUACUGGCUGUCUUGAGUACAGUAGAGGUGGGCGGAAUUCGUGGUGUAGCGGUGAAAUGCUUAGAUAUCACGAAGAACUCCGAUUGCGAAGGCAACUCACUGGACUGCAACUGACACUGAUGCUCGAAAGUGUGGGUAUCAAACAGGAUUAGAUACCCUGGUAGUCCACACAGUAAACGAUGAAUACUCGCUGUUUGCGAUAUACAGUAAGCGGCCAAGCGAAAGCAUUAAGUAUUCCACCUGGGGAGUACGCCGGCAACGGUGAAACUCAAAGGAAUUGACGGGGGCCCGCACAAGCGGAGGAACAUGUGGUUUAAUUCGAUGAUACGCGAGGAACCUUACCCGGGCUUAAAUUGCAUUUGAAUAUAUUGGAAACAGUAUAGCCGUAAGGCAAAUGUGAAGGUGCUGCAUGGUUGUCGUCAGCUCGUGCCGUGAGGUGUCGGCUUAAGUGCCAUAACGAGCGCAACCCUUAUCUUUAGUUACUAACAGGUCAUGCUGAGGACUCUAGAGAGACUGCCGUCGUAAGAUGUGAGGAAGGUGGGGAUGACGUCAAAUCAGCACGGCCCUUACGUCCGGGGCUACACACGUGUUACAAUGGGGGGUACAGAAGGCAGCUACCUGGUGACAGGAUGCUAAUCCCAAAAGCCUCUCUCAGUUCGGAUCGAAGUCUGCAACCCGACUUCGUGAAGCUGGAUUCGCUAGUAAUCGCGCAUCAGCCAUGGCGCGGUGAAUACGUUCCCGGGCCUUGUACACACCGCCCGUCAAGCCAUGAAAGCCGGGGGCGCCUAAAGUCCGUGACCGCAAGGAGCGGCCUAGGGCGAAACUGGUAAUUGGG